GAAUGUCUAUCCGGAUAUAGCAGCGGUUGUCACGGGCUCAAGGGGAGUACCGGGUUGUGACAAAUAUGGUGUUGAAUAUCCCUCAUGGAUGGUAAACCGUCAAAGCAUGCACCUCUUUGACUCCUUGAAAGUAGCAGCUAUCUCAUUCCUUGAAUGAGUAAGGGUGUUUUCUUUUCCAUCAUGUUGUGCUGCAACAUCAAAUUGCUAAGGUCUACCAAAUAACAAGUGACAAGCAUCUAUAUCCACAAUAUC